UACGGGGGGAGCAAGCGUUGUUCGGAUUUACUGGGCGUAAAGGGCGCGUAGGCGGUCAGCACAAGUCAGUUGUGAAAUCUCUGGGCUUAACUCAGAACGGUCAACUGAUACUGUCGGGCUAGAGUGCAGAAGGGGCAACUGGAAUUCUCGGUGUAGCGGUGAAAUGCGUAGAUAUCGAGAGGAACACCUGCGGCGAAGGCGGGUUGCUGGGCUGACACUGACGCUGAGGCGCGAAAGCUAGGGGAGCGAACGGG
rnacentral:rRNA from 1 species